rnacentral:rRNA from 1 species
GACGUAGGGCGCGAGCGUUGUCCGGAUUUAUUGGGCGUAAAGAGCUCGUAGGCGGCUUGUCGCGUCGACUGUGAAAUCCCGCGGCUCAACUGCGGGUCUGCAGUCGAUACGGGCAGGCUAGAGUUCGGUAGGGGAGACUGGAAUUCCUGGUGUAGCGGUGAAAUGCGCAGAUAUCAGGAGGAACACCGGUGGACGAAGGCGGGUCUCUGGGCCGAUACUGACGCUGAGGAGCGAAAGCGUGGGGAGCGAACAGG